CCCUUAGACGUUCUGGGCCGCACGCGCGCUACACUGACGAAGGCAACGAGCUUUCCUUUACCGAAAGGUACGGGUAAUCUUUUGAAACUUCGUCGUGCUGGGGAUAGAUCCUUGCAAUUUUUGAUCUUAAACGAGGAAUUCCUAGUAAGCGCAAGUCAUCAACUUGCGUUGAUUACGUCCCUGCCCUUUGUACACACCGCCCGUCGCUCCUACCCAUUGAGUGAUCCGGUGAGGCUCUGGGACCUGGACGGAAAGAGCGUUUCGCUUGUUCUGUUUGGGAAACUUGGUCGAACCUUAUCAUUUAGAGGAAGGAGAAGUCGUAACA
rnacentral:rRNA from 1 species